UGCUGAACUAUAACUAUCAUCACCUAGGGCUGAUGGGAGUUGUAGUUCAGCAACAUCUCAGCUAGGGCUGAUGGGAGUUGUAGUUCAGAG